ACUGCUCAGUAACACGUGGACAACCUACCCUUAGGUCAGGUAUAACCCCGGGAAACUGGGAAUAAUACCGGAUAUUGGGCGAAGGCUGGAAUGCAUCGCUCAAGAAAGCUCCGGCGCCUAAGGAUGGGUCUGCGGCCUAUCAGGGUAGUAGUGGGUGUAACGUACCUACUAGCCUACGACGGGUACGGGUUGUGAGAGCAAGAGCCCGGAGAUGGAUUCUGAGACACGAAUCCAGGCCCUACGGGGUGCAGCAGGCGCGAAAACUUUACAAUGCUGGCAACAGCGAUAAGGGGACCUCGAGUGCCAGGAUACAAUCCUGGCUGUCGUAAUGCCUAAAAAGCAUUGCAUAGCAAGGGCCGGGCAAGACCGGUGCCAGCCGCCGCGGUAAUACCGGCGGCUCGAGUGGUAACCGUUAUUAUUGGGUCUAAAGGGUCUGUAGCCGGCUGGAUAAGUCUCUUGGGAAAUCCGGCAGCUCAACUGUCGGGCUUUCAGGAGAUACUGUCCGGCUCGAGACCGGGAGAGGUGAGAGGUACUUCAGGGGUAGGGGUGAAAUCUUGUAAUCCUUGAAGGACCACCAGUGGCGAAGGCGUCUCACCAGAACGGAUCUGACGGCAAGGGACGAAAGCUAGGGGCACGAACCGGAUUAGAUACCCGGGUAGUCCUAGCCGUAAACGAUACUCGCUAGGUGUCGGCCACGGUGCGACCGUGGUCGGUGCCGUAGGGAAGCCGUGAAGCGAGCCACCUGGGAAGUACGGCCGCAAGGCUGAAACUUAAAGGAAUUGGCGGGGGAGCAC
rnacentral:rRNA from 1 species